CCCUUAGAUGUCCGGGGCCGCACGCGCGCUACACUGAAGGAAUCAGCGUGGCUUUCUCCCUGACCCGAAAGGGUUGGGAAACCCGUUGAAUCUCCUUCGUGAUAGGGAUUGGGGCUUGAAAUUGUUCCCCAUGAACGAGGAAUUCCCAGUAAGCGCGAGUCAUAAGCUCGCGUUGAUUACGUCCCUGCCCUUUGUACACACCGCCCGUCGCUACUACCGAUUGAACGGUUUAGUGAGGGCCUCGGAUUGGUCUCGGCCCGCUCUUUACCGGGCGGCGCCGUUGGUCGAGAAGACGCUUGAACUUGAUCGUUUAGAGGAAGUAAAAGUCGUAACA
rnacentral:rRNA from 1 species